rnacentral:rRNA from 1 species
CCUACGGGAGGCAGCAGUGGGGAAUAUUGGGCAAUGGGCGCAAGCCUGACCCAGCAACGCCGCGUGAAGGAAGAAGGCUUUCGGGUUGUAAACUUCUUUUAAGCGGGAAGAGAAGAAGACGGUACCUCUUGAAUAAGCCACGGCUAACUACGGGCCAGCAGCCGCGGUAAUACGUAGGUGGCAAGCUGUGUCCGGAUUUACUGGGUGUAAAGGGCGUGCAGCCGGGAAGACUAGUCAGAUGUGAAAUCCCGGGGCUCAACCGCGGAACUGCAUUUGAAACUGUUUUUCUUGAGUACCGGAGAGGUCAGCGGAAUUCGUGGUGUAGCGGUGAAAUGCGUAGAUAUAAGGAAGAACACCAGUGGCGAAGGCAGAUGACUGGACGGCUACUGACGGUGAGGCGCGAAAGCGUGGGGAGCAAACAGGAUUAGAUACCCUAGUAGUC